GCACUAUUUCUUGUUGGCAACAUUUAUGUGGACAGCGCUCAAUUCUGCACAUUUGUACUUACUGCUGCUCAAAACCCUGAGGCCCAUUCCUGGACACUUCACUUUAAUCAUGUCAAUAAUUGGAUGGGGAGUGCCUGCUGUAGUGGUUGCUAUAACACUUGGAGCUACCUAUAGAGAGGGCAAGCAAUUAAACUACCGACAGGAAGAGUUUUGCUGGCUUGCAGUCCUGGAUGACAAAGGGGAAGUGAGCAUAAAAAAGCCCAUGAUAUGGGCAUUCCUUUUGGUAGUGGCA